UACGUAGGGUGCAAGCGUUAAUCGGAAUUACUGGGCGUAAAGCGUGCGCAGGCGGUUAUGCAAGACAGAGGUGAAAUCCCCGGGCUCAACCUGGGAACUGCCUUUGUGACUGCAUGGCUAGAGUACGGUAGAGGGGGAUGGAAUUCCGCGUGUAGCAGUGAAAUGCGUAGAUAUGCGGAGGAACACCGAUGGCGAAGGCAAUCCCCUGGACCUGUACUGACGCUCAUGCACGAAGGCGUGGGGAGCAAACAGGAUUAGAUACCCUGGUAGUCAAGGGCG
rnacentral:rRNA from 1 species